rnacentral:rRNA from 1 species
UGGGGAAUAUUGGACAAUGGGCGAAAGCCUGAUCCAGCAAUGCCGUGUGUGUGAAGAAGGCCUUCGGGUUGUAAAGCACUUUUAGUGGAGAAGAAAAGUUCAAGACUAAUAACCUUGAAUGCUGACGUUAUCCACAGAAAAAGCACUGGCUAACUCUGUGCCAGCAGCCGCGGUAAUACAGAGAGUGCGAGCGUUAAUCGGAAUUACUGGGCGUAAAGCGCACGUAGGUGGAAUCUUAAGUCAGAUGUGAAAUCCCCGAGCUUAACUUGGGAAUUGCAUUUGAUACUGGGUUUCUAGAAUAUAGUAGAGGGAAGUGGAAUUUCCGGUGUAGCGGUGAAAUGCGUAGAUAUCGGAAGGAACAUCAGUGGCGAAAGCGGCUUCCUGGACUAAUAUUGACACUUAGGUGCGAAAGCGUGGGGAGCAAACAGGAUUAGAUACCCGUGUAGUCC